AUACUUACCUGGCACAGGAGACACCGUGAUCACGAGGACGGUUCUCCCAGGGCGAGGCUUGCCAUUGCACUCCGGCAGUGCUGACCCCUGCGAUUAACCCAAAUGUGGUUAACUCGAGUGCGAAAUUUCUUAUUUGUGAGGGAUUGCGUUCGCGCAUCCCCUGU